GCUCGUUACAGAGCACAGGUACUGGCUAAAUGUGUCCGAUCAUUCAUCAUGAUUUCGCCCUCCACUUUGUCACAGCGUGGGGAUUUAAGGAAGAUAGAUGGUACAAGAUGUUGUCUCCUCCGCAGACGCUUUCUGCUCUGGUAGAAAUUACAGCCCACUUUACAGAGGACAAAACCUGGACGCAGAGAGCAGCUGGACCAAGAUCUCGGCUCUGCGCACUUCUCCCCACCGCCGUCUCUCACCUGGAUGCAGGUAACAGCUUGUGCUCCCCACCCCAUCACUCAGCCUUCUCCACUCUGCAGCCAGAGUGGGCUUUUGAAAUCACCAAGCUGAGUAUGACAUUCCCAUGCUUACACCCUUCUUCAGCGAGCCUCUCCCUGGUGCCGUCGGGAGGAAGAAGUCCCAAGUACUAAAUAGUUCCAUGCCCUAAACUUUGGAUCCUGCCUGGA